ensembl:lncRNA
CCCCCCCCCCCCCCCCCCCCCUUUUAACAAAUGCACAAGUCUUGUUAUGUGACUUUUUACCUCUUUCAUGUCGUGUUUGCAGCAGAGGACAGAACACAUUCUGGAGACCCCGAGCCUCAAACCCUGCUGUGGACUCUGCAGUGAGUGCACACAGGCAGUCGCAGCCCCUUCCUUGCACGGUGCUUUAGAAUCGUGACAUUUAAAAAACAUACAAUCCGUCUGUCAGCAUCCCAGUAUUUCCCUCUCAAGCUGUUCCCUGGUGGACAACUGAAGAAUCCGAGUUUUUCAAAUAACACACUGGUGUUAUGUGAACCCAAGGGCUCGGCCUGUGGAAAAAGAGAUUUGCAAAAUGUGCAUUCUGACGUGGAAGAAUGUGAAAUGUAUUACCACAAGAGCAGGCUGCCUUGUGAGUGCUUCUGCGGGGCAAUGUCUUUUCUGCAGAGCUAGCCAUGGGGACCGAGCUUUAGCUGGGAGCAGCUUGGUCGGCGCCAUUUUCCCUCUGUGGCCUGUGCAGGAAGCUAACACCAGCCGUCUUCGCACACUGUGGGACCGUAACAGGCCGCUGCCUGCGCCCGGGAGCGCAGACCCUCCUGCUGCACUCAGCAGAGCAAGUCUGAACUGGGUGCAUGGAGCAGGAAAUGCCAGUUCACAGCCCUCCCACGUGGCUCCAGGCUGCGUGCACAAUGACUUUUCCAGCCCCCCAGACUCUGUACACAUGAAUCCCUUCACCGUCCAGACGCCGUUUUGGGAUUGGCACAGCAUUCUGUGAUCUUGGAAGGCCGCUCAUGUGGUGUGGGAGCCAUCGCACACGUCUCUUGCAUUGGGUGCCUGCUGUGCUCCGCUGCAGGUGUUUCAUACUUGACAAGCAAGUCAUUGUGAGACUGGAGAAGCCACAUCCUUCUUCCUGGUCUCUGUAGUUCCACCUGCAGAGUUAGAGUAGUGUGUUCCAUCUUCCUAACCAAAGGAGACACAGAUGAAAGGGGCCUAAGUCGUCAUGUCAGCUGUGUUCGUGAGAGAAAGAGAGUAAAAGGCACCCAGGCACCGAGGCAAGAAGUGAACAGUGCCAUUCCCUUCCCUGCAUCUCCCAAUCUGCCCCAGACUUCCUCAGCUGGAGCUUGGAUCCACCACUCUACAUUUCAAACCUCUGAGUAAGUCAACACAUUUUGCCAAGUUGUCUGAUCACCAAUUGAACUCCUCAUCCACAGCAUUACGGUUCUUGUUUGUCUGCUUAUAUGUCUGCAGGAUGUGACAGGUACCUAGAAAAAUCACUUUGUCCCAGUGGCAUCCCUUGUUAAUGUCAAAGGGAGCUGCAUGGAGAGGCUGAGCUGUGGUUGGCACUGAACUCUGUGCUCCUCUGGUGUCUGGAAACGGGAAAUGUACUUGUAGGGAGACCAGACUCAGGGGCAGCCUUGUGAAAGAGUAUUUCUUCACCCUUCACUUUUUUAGGAGUGUGAACACAAGGAAUUUAAUCUUUUCAUUUGGUUACUGCUGCUCUCUGCUAUAUCAGCACAGCCGCCAG